AUUGAACGCUGGCGGCAUGCCUUACACAUGCAAGUCGAACGGCAGCGCGGGGCAACCUGGCGGCGAGUGGCGAACGGGUGAGUAAUAUAUCGGAACGUGCCCUGGAGUGGGGGAUAACGUAGCGAAAGUUACGCUAAUACCGCAUACGAUCUGAGGAUGAAAGCAGGGGACCUUCGGGCCUUGUGCUCCUGGAGCGGCCGAUAUCUGAUUAGCUAGUUGGUGGGGUAAAAGCCUACCAAGGCGACGAUCAGUAGCUGGUCUGAGAGGACGACCAGCCACACUGGAACUGAGACACGGUCCAGACUCCUACGGGAGGCAGCAGUGGGGAAUUUUGGACAAUGGGGGCAACCCUGAUCCAGCAAUGCCGCGUGUGUGAAGAAGGCCUUCGGGUUGUAAGCACUUUGUCAGGAACGAAACGGUACUGGGC
rnacentral:rRNA from 1 species